UAUUAUCAAAGUCUUUUUUAAAGUCUUAGUUAAUACAUAUGUAUGAUCUCUCCAAGGACAAUUUUAUUUGAUUCAUCCUGCAACCAGCUCCUACUGCAUAUGUAACUUCAGUAAGCUUCAGAGGAUAAUGAGGUGGUGUGGUCCACUGUGUCGAGCAAUUACUGGGCUUCAAGAGUUUCCUAAUCCUUUCUGAGGUUCCAGGAAAACUCUUCCUGGGUCCGUGGGCAUGGGUGACAGUCUGUGCCACCCUCAAAGUAGUCAGGAGAUUGGAAUUCCAUGGUGAUUCUCUGCUACAUAGCAAGGGCCUGGCUCAAAGCCUUAGUAGCAUUCCAGAGGCAUUCUACCCACAAUGCCUUUUAUAGAUCUUUGCUUUUAAUGUCUCCCUCAAACUAUUUUCAAAAGCAAAGACAAAUAAAAAGGUCGCCAUUUCCAUUUAGUAUUUCAGCUCCUUUGUUUUUUUGUUAGUCUUUUGAUUAAAACAAAUAAAUCAAAAACCACAAAACUUUUCAUUUUUCCUGAGAGUUUACCUCUUACAGGGUUCACAACAAAAUAGACCAUCCAAACUCCCUUCAGAGUCUCAUAAACGACAGGGCUUCAGCUAUGCAACAGGGAGUUUGCGCCACUGACCAAUGUCAAGUUGAAUAAUCUCCUAUGACUUUUGUUCAUCCACAGAAAAGAGGCUUUUUUUAAUAGAGAUUGAAAGAAUUGCUCUGCACUUGGUUAUUCGAAUGCUGAUCUUUGAACUGCCCAAGACAGAAGGGAGUUAAAGAACAGCAGUGAAGAAGAAAGUCAACUGAAAGGGAGCCAAUAUUGGUUGGAUAUCUCCUAUGGUGCAGGCAUUGUAAAAAAUUGCAUUCUGCGGACAGAGAGAUCUGCUGGGAAACCACAGACCAACACCCCAGGCACUAAACAGUACAGUCCUAUUCCACAGCCUGCUCAGACCCUGCUCCUGCUGUUGUCCAUGUGUGAGACCCAGCCUCGCACUCCCUUGACCAUGACGUGAGUUAUUGACUGCUCAUCACUCUGGGGCCGGUAGGACUCUGCCUGUGGAUAUUUCCUCGUGUUGUCAGGUGAUUGUGAAUUACAUGCUGACAUAACCCUAAAGUGGAUCACGUCACUAUGAAACCAUCACUUGGCAGUGGCUCUGAAGAGCAGAGGGGAAGAGAAUUCCAUCAAACAGGAAGACUUUUGCACCAGACAUCUGUCAUUCACUCUACGUGAAAGAAGAUAUGGCUAGUGAUAAAGAUCUUACUCAACUGUGGGCAGUGGUAAAUGUUUGGAAGAAAUGCAACUGGAAAACUGACGACGACUUAUAUAAAUGGACCUCUCAAAAUGGUAAUGAAUGGAGAUAUCUGUAUCCUGUAGCAAUAUUCACCAAAAGACAUCUUCCAUGAAUGAGAUUUUUAAUAAAUGAGAUGCAAAAAAUGACAAGCACUAUGUAUGUUCAAUGGAUUAAUGAACAACAGGACAAAGGUAAUAGGGAUGGAGAUUUAUGCGUGGGAUCAACAGACAUAGGUUACCUCUUGAUAGGAGUUUUCUGGCUACUACCAUAGUCGCAUUCCCAACCUCCCAGUAGCAGAAGGCAGUGCUGAACCUUUGAUACACCAUCCUUCUUCAGGGCAGGAUAGAACCAGUUACUUGGGGACAAGAUAAUUACAUUGGAUCUCUUCAAUCAUGGAAAUGGCUGCAAUCUGUCCUCACUGGAGUAGAUUCUUAUUCUGGGUAUAGAUUUGCCUUCUCUGUCCCAAACACCUCUACCGGCACUUACUGCAUGCUUUGUUUGCAAUCAAGAUGUCCCCUACAACACUGCCUUUGACCAGUGUACUUAUUUAACAGCAAAAUAAGUGAGGCAAUGUACUUACACCCUGGAAUUCACUCACUGACUCUGACAGACCUAAACCAGUGGCCUUAUGGAAACAUGUGAAAUGGUGUACUGAAGGCUCAGUUAUGGCAAUUCUUGAGUGACAGCCCGAGGAGCUGAAGUAUUAUGCUACAAAUGAGGUCUAUUCUCUGAUUCUCUGAUUAAUAUUUGGUGCCAUUUCUCCCAUAGUCAAAAAACACUUGAUCUGAAACAAAGGAUGGAAGUGGGGGUUGCUUAUCUCUUUAUUGCCCCUAAUAAUUCACACAAAAUUUUUGCUUUCUCUCCCCACAACUUUCAGUUUGCUGGUUUAGAGGAUUUAGUAGCAAUGGUGCUUCCAUCAGGAGAAAUAACUAUUCCACUGAAUUGAAAGCUGAGAUCGCCACCUGGUCCUUGGGUUCUUUCUGACACUGAAUACUCAGGCAGAGGAGUGGAUUACGCUACUGACUUGAGUGAUUGCUCCAAUGGGGGCAUGGAGGAAAUGGUCUACAAGUCAGGAGAUUCCUUAGGACACUAUAGUACUUCAUUUCCAGUGUUAGCAUUUAAUGAAAGUCUACAAGCAAUCAAAGGCAGAACCCCUAAUACCUCACAUGUCUCAUGAAUGAUGGUUUGGGUCACCCUAAAAUGAAAAAAAAACCACAAUCAGCUGAUGUGCAAGCUCAGAAUAAAGGGAACGUAGAGUAGGUGGUGGAGGCAGGAAUUAUGGCUAUGUGACUACUUGCAGAAAUGGAGAUUGUAGCAUCUAUUAAUAUUUUUCUUGCUUGUUUUGUUAUGUAUGUACUUUUUAAAUAUCAACCAUUCUCCCUUCCCAUACUAUCUAUUAAAAGCCGUGUUAACAAUGUUAACAGUGAUUAAUGCUAUAAAUCUAAUCUUCAAGUUACAAGAUAACAGAGAGAUCGUGACUGCUGGAAAAAAAUAUUACCCAAAGAUGAAUACAGGGACAUAAUGGAAUUUACAUCUCAACCUUUGGAGAAGAGGUGGGCAAGUCUUCAGUGAAUCAAGGAAUUGAAUUGUACUAGAUAGAAGAAGGAUGCUGUUUUUAUUGUUAUUUGGAAGUUUAAUUAUGUCUAAAAGGAUAAAUAUGGAUGCUGAAUUGACAAAGUAUAUUGCAGAAGAGAAGCUGAAAACUACACUUCCCAGAAUCCACUUCCCUAUGUAAUCACAGAUUCUGGUCUGAGAAUAAGAGGCACCAGAGAGAUUCAGAAGGUAGAAGAGGAAAGGCACCAGAGGGAAUAGGAGAUAGAUGUUUGGGGCCAACCACAGAUGUGAGGUUCAAAGCAGCUGUAUUAUACUCAGAAUAUGCCGAGUAACUUCUGUUUUCCUUACUGAAGCCUGCCCGAUUCUGUGAGAAAGCAAAAAAUCCCCUCCUCUGGGUUAAGAAUAAAAUGAGUAUUCCUCACCAACUUUCCUGCAAUCUAAACCCUUGAGGUAUUUAAGUUUGUGACCCUGGAAUGCAUGAUGGUUUAUGAUAAAAGGCCUCUAAACUAGUCCUCUGCCCUCAAGCAGCUUUGAAAACAGAAUAUAUACAUUAAGAGAAAAUGAAAAUAUAAAGUAACAUGACCUAAGAAAGAAAUGAGUGUAUAGAGGAAAUCUCUCCAAAAUUUCAGAGGUAGCACCAAUCUCUCUCUCACUUCAGAGUCUUUGCGUGCACCUUCUCCACUGCCUGGAAACUUCUCGAUUCCAAGGCCAAUCCUUUUGCUUCUUCAGGUCUUAAAUGUCAGUUCUUCCUGGAUUGACCACCCAAUCUAAAUUAAGUUUUCUUAUUCUCUUUCCCAGCACCCAGUUUCUUUGCCUUCACUGCACUAAUUGCUAUUUGAAAUGGUUUAUGUAUCUCCAUAUCUGUGUGCUCAGCACAUAUCUCCUCCAUCAGACUGUAAACUCCAAGAGGACCAAGGCCAUGUCUUUUUUGUUUACUGCUUCACAUCCAGUACCUAGAAAACAGAAAAGACGGUCUUUCCAGGGAAUGGGAAAUGAAGACGGAAAAUAUCCUUGCCUUUCCCAUGUAUUCUUCGAUUUCUAUUCUAUGGGACAGUGCCGCUCUAGAUAUUUGGAUGAAAGGUGGCCAUAUGGAAGAAAUGCCUUCCCGUCUCAUCCAAGAGCCCAAGGUGUCCCUCCACAGGUGGUAUUUGGUGAAGGUGAAUGAUAAAGAUCAGAUUCAAGUAAGAAAAAUCAGAAGUGAACACCAUAGAGUCUGAAGACAAUGGUGUGUAUAGCAGACACUGUCAAUCCCUUACUCAUGUGCCCUCAGCACUCAUCCUUCCAUAAACACUGACUGCUUCUUCCUGAACACACUCAAACAUUUCCUGAAGAGUGCUCUGAUAGCAG
ensembl:lncRNA